AAUUAUAUAUAUGGUUUUGUUUAAGGGAAGAAUGUUGGAUUUUUUUUUUUUUAACAUCUGGAUUUAUUAUUUAUUGCAAAUUAUGAGAACUGUUACAUAGACGAUUCUACAACGGACAAUUCCUUCCGACUCUUAUUAGAUCCACGAAUAAUGACACCUUCUUCACCUUCUUCUUCAUACUCACCUCCUUCACCUCUUUCUUUAUGCUCUUGAUGGACACUUCCCUCUCUGCGUAGAAUCCUGGCGAACGGCUAUAAUUGUACAUCGCUGGAGAUUUCCUGCACACUUGCCUCUAAUAAUCUGCAAAUUUAUUAAUAAAUCACAGUAUCUGGGACUCGAACCCCAGACCUCUGGAUGUAGAAGCAUUAAUUAACCCUUGUUCAACCAAUGGGCCAA
rnacentral:lncRNA from 1 species